GACGAACGCUGGCGGCGUGCCUAAUACAUGCAAGUUGAGCGAUGAAGAUUGGUGCUUGCACCAAUUUGAAGAGCAGCGAACGGGUGAGUAACGCGUGGGGAAUCUGCCUUUGAGCGGGGGACAACAUUUGGAAACGAAUGCUAAUACCGCAUAAUAACUUUAAACAUAAGUUUUAAGUUUGAAAGAUGCAAUUGCAUCACUCAAAGAUGAUCCCGCGUUGUAUUAGCUAGUUGGUGAGGUAAAGGCUCACCAAGGCGAUGAUACAUAGCCGACCUGAGAGGGUGAUCGGCCACAUUGGGACUGAGAUACGGCCCAGACUCCUACGGGAGGCAGCAGUGGGGAAUAUUGCACAAUGGGCGGAAGCCUGAUGCAGCAACGCCGCGUGCGGGAUGACGGCCUUCGGGUUGUAAACCGCUUUCGCCUGUGACGAAGCGUGAGUGACGGUAAUGGGUAAAGAAGCACCGGCUAACUACGUG
rnacentral:rRNA from 1 species